rnacentral:rRNA from 1 species
UACGGAGGGUGCGAGCGUUGUUCGGAAUCACUGGGCGUAAAGCGCGUGUAGGCGGCUCGAUAAGUCUGGUGUGAAAGCCCGGGGCUCACCCCCGGAAGUGCAUCGGAUACUGUUGAGCUCGAGUCCCGGAGAGGAGAGUGGAAUUCCUGGUGUAGCGGUGAAAUGCGUAGAUAUCAGGAGGAACACCGGUGGCGAAGGCGGCUCUCUGGACGGUGACUGACGCUGAGACGCGAAAGCGUGGGGAGCAAACAGG